AUUGAACGCUGGCGGCAUGCCUUACACAUGCAAGUCGAACGGCAGCAUGGAAGAGCUUGCUCUUCUGAUGGCGAGUGGCGAACGGGUGAGUAAAGCAUCGGAACGUACCGUGUAGUGGGGGAUAACGUAGCGAAAGUUACGCUAAUACCGCAUACGCACUGAGGUGGAAAGCAGGUGAUCGCAAGACCUUGCGCUAUACGAGCGGCCGAUGUCAGAUUAGCUAGUUGGUAGGGUAAAGGCCUACCAAGGCGACGAUCUGUAGCGGGUCUGAGAGGAUGAUCCGCCACACUGGGACAGAGACACGGCCCAGACUCCUACGGGAGGCAGCAGUGGGGAAUUUUGGACAAUGGGGGAAACCCUGAUCCAGCCAUGCCGCGUGAGUGAAGAAGGCCUUCGGGUUGUAAAGCUCUUUCGGCUGGGAAGAAAUCGCACAGGCUAAUACUCUGUGUGGAUGACGGUACCAGCAUAAGAAGCACCGGCUAACUACGUGCCAGCCGCCGCAGUAA
rnacentral:rRNA from 1 species